UACAGAGGUCUCAAGCGUUGUCCGGAAUCAUUGGGCGUAAAGCGCGCGUAGGUGGCUCUGUAAGUCCGUUGUGAAAGUCAAAGGCUCAACCUUUGAAAGCCGAUGGAUACUGCAGAGCUAGAGUACGGAAGAGGCGAGUGGAAUUCCUGGUGUAGCGGUGGAAUGCGCAGAUAUCAAGAGGAACACCAAUAGCGAAGGCAGCUCGCUGGGACGUUACUGACACUGAGACGCGAAAGCGUGGGGAGCGAACAGG
rnacentral:rRNA from 1 species